CAGUAGCCGCGGUAACACGUAAGGUGCGAGCGUUGUUCGGAAUUAUUGGGCGUAAAGGGCAUGCAGGCGGUCGUGCAAGCCCGGCGUGAAAGGUGGGGGCUCAACUCCCAAACUGCGCUGGGAACUGCAAGGCUUGAGUUUCUGAAGGGCAGCCGGAAUUCCACGUGUAGGGGUGAAAUCUGUAGAUAUGUGGAAGAACACCAAUGGCGAAGGCAGGCUACCGGCAGAAGACUGACGCUGAGGUGCGAAGGUGCGGGGAGCAAACAGGAUUAGAUACCCCCGUAGUCCCUGUCUCUUAUAC
rnacentral:rRNA from 1 species